UACGUAGGGGGCAAGCGUUGUCCGGAUUUACUGGGCGUAAAGAGCGCGUAGGCGGAAGACCAAGUCUGGCCUGAAAGACCCCGGCUCAACCGGGGAGGGGGGGCUGGAAACUGGUGUUCUUGAGGGCGAUAGAGGAGUGUGGGAAUUCCUGGUGUAGCGGUGAAAUGCGUAGAGAUCAGGAGGAACACCCGUGGCGAAGGCGGCACUCUGGGUCGGCCCUGACGCUGAGGAGCGAAAGCAUGGGGAGCGAACAGG
rnacentral:rRNA from 1 species